CCGCAAGUGUAUUCCUAUACUGUUGCGUUUAAAUAGCUCGUAGUUGGAUCUGCGUGUUUAGCGCGCGGUGCCACUUAUUUGUGGUUACUGCGUCGCGACACAGUCGUGCUCGUCGUCGCGAUGCUUCAACGCAAGUGUCGUGUUCGCGGGCAAAGUUUACUUUGAACAAAUCAGAGUGCUCAAAACGGGCGUUUCGCUCGAAUGUUCUUGCAUGGAAUAAUGGAAUAGGACCUCGCGUUCUAUUUUGUUGGUUUUCGGGACCGAGGUAAUGAUUAAGAGGGACAGACGGGGGCAUUUGUACUGCGACGUGAGAGGUGAAAUUCUUGGAUCGUCGCAAGACAGACUACUGCGAAAGCAUUUGCCAAGAAUGUUUUCAUUAA
rnacentral:rRNA from 1 species